AAUGCCGGAUGCUCCGACUCCUCGCAUGGGGUGUCGGGAAAGAUUAUAUCGGUAUGGGAUGGGGUCGCGUCCUAUCAGGUAGUCGGCGGGGUAACGGCCCACCGAGCCUACGACGGGUAGCCGGCCUGAGAGGGCGACCGGCCACAUUGGGACUGAGAUACGGCCCAGACUCCUACGGGAGGCAGCAGUGGGGAAUAUUGCACAAUGGGCGCAAGCCUGAUGCAGCGACGCCGCGUGCGGGAUGACGGCCUUCGGGUUGUAAACCGCUUUUGAUCGGGAGCAAGCCUUCGGGUGAGUGUACCUUUCGAAUAAGCACCGGCUAACUACGUGCCAGCAGCCGCGGUAAUACGUAGGGUGCAAGCGUUAUCCGGAAUUAUUGGGCGUAAAGGGCUCGUAGGCGGUUCGUCGCGUCCGGUGUGAAAGUCCAUCGCUUAACGGUGGAUCUGCGCCGGGUACGGGCGGGCUGGAGUGCGGUAGGGGAGACUGGAAUUCCCGGUGUAACGGUGGAAUGUGUAG
rnacentral:rRNA from 1 species